GAUAUGAUAGUGGCGUACAGGCACGGAACUCGCAAUCAAAAUAUGGCGGGGACCGGGGGACAGGGGGGACACAAUUUUUUGGUGGCCACGCGCGCAUGUGCACACUCACACACACGCGCGCGUGGCU